AUUGAACGCUGGCGGCAGGCCUAACACAUGCAAGUCGAGCGGAGCGGCGGACGGGUGAGUAAUGCCUAGGAAUCUGCAUGGUAGUGGGGGAUAACGUCCGGAAACGGGCGCUAAUACCGCAUACUAUCAGAUGAGCCUCGGUCGGAUCCGCUAGUUGGUGGGGGAAAGGCUUACCAAGGCGACGAGCCGUAACUGGUCUGAGAGGAUGAUCAGUCACACUGGAACUGAGAGACGGGCCAGACUCCUACGGGAGGCAGCAGUGGGGAAUAGUGGACAAUGGGCGAAAGCCUGAUCCAGCCAUGUCGCGUGUGUGAAGAAGGUCUUCGGAUUGUAAAGCACUUUAAGUUGGGAGGCGGUACCAACAGAAUAAGCACCGGCUAACUUCGUGCCAGCCACCGCGGUAAUAC
rnacentral:rRNA from 1 species